rnacentral:rRNA from 1 species
UACGUAGGGUGCAAGCGUUGUCCGGAAUUAUUGGGCGUAAAGAGCUCGUAGGCGGUCUGUCGCGUCGAAUGUGAAAACCCGGGACUCAACUCCGGGCCUGCAUUCGAUACGGGCAGACUAGAGUUCGGUAGGGGAGACUGGAAUUCCUGGUGUAGCGGUGAAAUGCGCAGAUAUCAGGAGGAACACCUGUGGCGAAGGCGGUUCUCUGGGCCUGUACUGACGCUGAGGAGCGAAAGCGUGGGGAGCGAACAGG